GUGCCGGGCCUUUACAGGUCUGGCAAUUGGAAUGAGAACAAUUUAAAUCCCUUAUCGAGGAUCAAUUGGAGGGCAAGUCUGGUGCCAGCAGCCGCGGUAAUUCCAGCUCCAAUAGCGUAUAUUAAAGUUGUUGCAGUUAAAAAGCUCGUAGUUGGAUUUGUGGUUUACGCAAGGCUUCCGUCCCUCUUGGGUUUCGGUGUUGCCUGGCGUUGCCAUCCUUGGGUGGAAUCUGUGUGGCAUUAGGUUGUCGUGCAGGGGAUGCCCAUCGUUUACUGUGAAAAAAUUAGAGUGUUCAAAGCAGGCUUAUGCCGUUGAAUAUGUUAGCAUGGUAUAAUAAUAUAGGACCUUGGUACUAUUUUGUUGGUUUGCGCACCGAGGUAAUGAUUAACAGGGUCAACUGGGGAUAUUCGUAUUCCGCUGUCAGAGGUGAAAUUCUUGGAUUUUUGGAAGACGAACUACUGCGAAAGCAUUUAUCAAGGAUGUUUUCAUUAAUCAAGAACGAAAGUUAGGGGAUCGAAGAUGAUUAGAUACCAUCGUAGUCUUAACCAUAAACUAUGCCGACAAGGGAUUGGUGGAGUAUCGUUACGUCUCCAUCAGCACCUUAUGAGAAAUCAAAAGUCUUUGGGUUCCGGGGGGAGUAUGGUCGCAAGGCUGAAACUUAAAGAAAUUGACGGAAGGGCACCACCAGGAGUGGAGCCUGCGGCUUAAUUUGACCCAACACGGGAAAACUUACCAGGUCCAGACAUAGUGAGGAUUGACAGAUUGAGAGCUCUUUCUUGAUUCUAUGGGUGGUGGUGCAUGGCCGUUCUUAGUUGGUGGAGUGAUUUGUCGUUAAUUCCGUUAACGAACGAGACCCCUGCCUGCUAAAUAGCCCAGUGAGUGAUUUUUCACUGACUGUUGGCUUCUUAGAGGGACGUGCAUUCUAUUAGAUGCAGGAAGAUAGGGGCAAUAACAGGUCUGUGAUGCCCUUAGAUGUCCUGGGCCGCACGCGCGCUACACUGAUGAAUUCAACGAGUUUUUUCCUUGGCCGAGAGGCCUGGGCAAUCUUUUGAACGUUCAUCGUGAUAGGGAUAGAUUAUUGCAAUUAUUAAUCUUGAACGAGGAAUUCCUAGUAAACGCAGAUCAUCAAUCUGCAUUGAUUACGUCCCUGCCCUUUGUACACACCGCCCGUCGCACCUACCGAUUGAAUGGUCCGGUGAAGCCUCGGGAUUGUGGUCAGUUUGCCUUAUUGCGAGUUGAUUGCGAGAACUUGUCUAAACCUUAUCAUUUAGAGGAAGGUGAAGUC
rnacentral:rRNA from 1 species